rnacentral:rRNA from 1 species
UACGAAGGGGGCUAGCGUUGCUCGGAAUCACUGGGCGUAAAGGGUGCGUAGGCGGGUCUUUUAAGUCAGGGGUGAAAUCCUGGAGCUCAACUCCAGAACUGCCUUUGAUACUGAAGAUCUUGAGUUCGGGAGAGGUGAGUGGAACUGCGAGUGUAGAGGUGAAAUUCGUAGAUAUUCGCAAGAACACCAGUGGCGAAGGCGGCUCACUGGC